CUCAGGCACACACAACUAAGACAACACCAGUGGAAGUUAACCUGUGGUGAAGACAGAGAACUACCAACGACAAUCCCAAGAUUCUUCAUGAGGAUAAAUCCAGGUGAUGGAACUAAAUGCACCGCAAGUCGUAGGACAGGAGAAAUGGCAGUCAUCAACAACAAAGUGUCAUCCUUUGUCCACCAGCUAACAGAGUUUGAGUGGAAGAACUUGGAUUAGGAUAUCCUUCCAUCCCUGAACAAGCUGUGAACAACAGACUUCUUGCCAGAAAAGUAACGGAUUGCAGGUCGGUUUAGAUCCAAAUGUGCGUCAUGAGUUACAUGAUCGGUACACCCCAGAGAAUAUUUCUUUUUAUAUGUACUUAAAGAGUUAGUCAUUUGACAUGGAUAUUUCACUCAUAUUCAGACAAUGUUAUUUUGUACCAAAAAAGCACAGUAUCUAUUGUUACUGUUAUUUCUUAUGUUAAUGUGGUUAAUGAUUAUUUGUAAAAAAGCAUCCCAGUCAACAGAUGAGUAUUUUCUUUGUGUUCUUCUGUUGUUGGUAAAUAUACAGUUCUGUAUGCCGUCCAGAUACUUUGUUCUGCACAGUACUUUCUGCAUUGUGUUUUGACAGUAACAUUGAAUGCACUUAUAAUUGAAGUAAG